ensembl:lncRNA
GGUGGCGCUAGUGGUAAAGAACCUGCCUGCCAAUGCAGGAGACAUAAGAGAUGCAGGUUCAAUCCCUGGGUCGGGAAGAUCCCCCGGAGGCAGGCAUGACAACUGACUCCAGUAUUCUUGCCUGGAGAAUCCCAUGGACAGAGGGAGCCUUGGUCUCUACAGACACUGAAUUAGUUACCUCGGAACCACGGCUCCCAGGGCAAAUACAGGGUGAGGUUCCUCGGAGCCUCCCUUGGGCAAAACAGUGGAGCCACUGACAUACAUUUUGCUGAAUUUCCUCUUCCUUUUUCUGGAUGUGCCAUAUUGUGGAUUCAUUAACACUGAACCCUGGGUCGGCAGCACCAUAACACACACCUGAAGGAUGCUUAUCAAAUGUGUAUUACAUGUGUAUUCUCCUGCGGGCACAUCACAGUCUUCUGGCCCUUAGGAACGCUAGACAGCCCUUCAGCUCUCCACCCAGGAGCAUUUUAAACAAUGAAGUCACCGACAAAAUGCCCAAAGUGGCACUAAAGAGACACAGAAAGGAAGCUUGUUUAGCGUCUGAGACCUGAAACAAGAAGCCAGCGUUACCUUAGUUGGAUCUCAGCUGGGAAUGUGAGCGACUCAAAAUUUUGCCUUUCUGCUCUGACCAUGAACAGCAGAGAAAGCCGCAGAAGUCCUGAGCCGGGGGCUUACAAAUCAGUGUUGGUGGGUAGGUGCGUUGGCAAACGCAGACUCCGUGAACAACGAGGAUCAGUUGUACCCUGUUACAGAAGGCCUGUGAGGAGAGGCACUCGGUCCCCAUCCGCCGAUUGAAUCUGACUGUAAACACAGGUGAAGGAGGCUCUCAGGUGGGGGAAAUGAUCGAGGCUGAUGAAGCGAGGGUGGGAAGCUGGUUCUGGGGUAAUGUGGUGAUGGGAGGGGGCGUGGCCAGCGAGGCAGAGGUGGUCAGAUAGGGGGAGGGCCGUGACUAUCCGGACAAGGGAUCAAACUUUACCCAGCAGACCACAGAGAACCUGGCAAGGGCAGGACUGGAAAAGAGCAUAAUUUUAGGACCUUGAAGGAUGGGUCAGGAGAGGAUGCUCUGGACAGAGGCCGUGUGAGGUCAGCACCAGGCCACCCCUGGAUCCUUAGAAUGGCGCUGAGAGGCUGGUCUAGAGUGAGUGAGAAGAGGAAAUAGCUUUGUGGUGUCAGACUCCCAAGUCUCCGUAUCUGUCCAAAAGGAACAAGCCAGGAUCCAGGCAGGCCAAACACCCAGGGGGCGGCCUUCCCUGACCCCGUCCUCCGUCUCCCUCUUGAUGCGCCCAGGGCUCCCCAUCACGCAUCACGGCUGUUUACCUGCCUGUCGUCUUUGCUGACAUCCAUUAAAACCCUUGAGGUGUCCAGACACUUGCACAUGAUAACUCGUGAUGGGCAUGGUCCUCACGUCAGAGGUCCCAGAGCCACUGCCUGGACCCCGAAAGGGUUUCAAGAAACCCAGGCUCCAAGAAGGCCAGAUGAGAAUGCAAUGGAAAGAAUUUUACUCCCCUGGCCUGCCAGCCCUUGGCCUCCUAAAGCGAUCAGAUGCUGGAUUUGGAAACAGUCAACCCGAUAGAAUUC